rnacentral:rRNA from 1 species
UGGUGGCGAGCGGCGGACAGGUGAGUAAUGCAUAGAAAUCUGCCCGGUAGUGGGGGAUAACCUGGGGAAACCCAGGCUAAUACCGCAUACGUCCUACGGGAGAAAGCAGGGGAUCUUCGGACCUUGCGCUAUCGGAUGAGUCUAUGUCGGAUUAGCUUGUUGGUGAGGUAAUGGCUCACCAAGGCGACGAUCCGUAGCUGGUCUGAGAGGAUGAUCAGCCACAUCGGGACUGAGACACGGCCCGAACUCCUACGGGAGGCAGCAGUGGGGAAUAUUGGACAAUGGGCGAAAGCCUGAUCCAGCCAUGCCGCGUGUGUGAAGAAGGCCUUCGGGUUGUAAAGCACUUUCAGUGGGGAAGAAAGCCUUGGGGCUAAUACCCUCGAGGAAGGACAUCACCCACAGAAGAAGCACCGGCUAACUCCGUGCCAGCAGCCGCGGUAAUACGGAGGGUGCGAGCGUUAAUCGGAAUUACUGGGCGUAAAGCGCGCGUAGGCGGUCUGAUAAGCCGGUUGUGAAAGCCCCGGGCUCAACCUGGGAACGGCAUCCGGAACUGUCAGGCUAGAGUGCAGGAGAGGAAGGUAGAAUUCCCGGUGUAGCGGUGAAAUGCGUAGAGAUCGGGAGGAAUACCAGUGGCGAAGGCGGCCUUCUGGACUGACACUGACGCUGAGGUGCGAAAGCGUGGGUAGCAAACAGGAUUAGAUACCCCGGUAGUCCACGCCGUAAACGAUGUCGACUAGCCGUUGGGCUCCUUGAGAGCUUUGUGGCGCAGUUAACGCGAUAAGUCGACCGCCUGGGGAGUA